CGGGUGCUGGACCACAGGGAACAGCACGACAAGGCCAAUGGUGAACACCACCGAGACUGUGCCGCAGAAACUGCCCGUCUCGGAUGUAGCCGAGCGCAUCGGGAAGUUCACGCUUCUGAAUGCCUUUUUUCAGCAAACACAACAAGAACCGCAGUGAAUUACGUCUUUGCUGAUGAAACCUUGCUGAUUUUUGCCGUCUGGAAGCCCAGAGCUUCAGACACCAGCACGGUGGAGGACAUGUUUGCACGGCUGAUGGCUCCUGCUGGCAGAGCUGGUCCUGCAACUUCACCUCCAGGAGCUUCAAUCAACCCAGGAACUUCAGUCAGCAUUGCCAAGGCUGUCCUCCUUUGGAGGUGGGUGUAGAUAGCUUCAUUUAGACAUUUCAAUCUCUGAAUUUCUGCAGAUCUUAAUGAGGAGAUUGCAGAGAUUGUUUGGGUCCCUCCUCACCACAGCUCCUUCCGCAACCACUCUCCUCCUGGGCACUUCAGCUCCUCCCCAGCACUGCCAAGAGCAGGUUCCUCUCUGAUGCCAUUUCACCAUUAAUAACUCAUAGCGAAACUCUUACGCAGGAACAUGUUACUUUGGAUGGAGGGUCCUUUUUAAAGCUGUUCGUAUUUUUUUUCUUCCCAUUUCUUCCUCUCCUGUUGAAGCAGAGGGAACUGCAGGGUGCUGCCAAUUCACAGCUGUCUCCAUCUUUUCUUCUCAGCUUUUAACUAAUCUCAGUAAAACCUUGGGGAAGAUCCUAACGACAUAAUGUCUGCUCAGCUCAGCUGUACACUAGGCAUCACAGUGAAUAAUUUAGUGCAACUUUCAAUGUAGUUUAUUGCACCACCUCAUUUUGCUUACAUGCGUGUAAUGUUAAUCUUAAGAAGUUGCUCUAAUUACCGACAAAUAGGAGACUCUUCCACCCCAGAUGUGGCCAGAAGAAUAGGUUAUUAAUUCAAAGAAGUGAUGUCUCCAGAAAAGGGGUUAUAGUGGGACUGUUUCCUUAAAAAAAUACUUUAUUAGAAAGCAAAGUCCACGCUUAGAUGCCAUUUAAUUAAGGCAGUCAAAGUACAAAAGGCAUACCUGAGGGAGUAACUCUUCAGAUUUUGGGAGUAAUGCGUUCAUUUCUGUAAUAUUUGCUACACAUACUACACAUUUUUCAUUAGUGUUGGCUGGACAUCAGUUUCCAAGGACUCACCACUUUGCAAUAAUUGGAUAUGUGAUUCGAGAAAUGAUAUGGCUUGAAAUUCAUGGGCCUUGCCUAAACACAUACAUACAUAGAUUGUGCUGUCUAUUGGGGGUUUAAUCAAAUGAGAUAAGGUUGCUAUUCACUAAGCAAAUUGCACGUGUUAUCUUGCGAUAGCAUGGCAUUUUGUUG
rnacentral:lncRNA from 1 species